rnacentral:rRNA from 1 species
UACGUAGGGUGCAAGCGUUAAUCGGAAUUACUGGGCGUAAAGCGUGCGCAGGCGGUUAUGUAAGACAGAUGUGAAAUCCCCGGGCUUAACCUGGGAACUGCAUUUGUGACUGCAUGGCUGGAGUGCGGCAGAGGGGGAUGGAAUUCCGCGUGUAGCAGUGAAAUGCGUAGAUGUGCGGAGGAACACCGAUGGCGAAGGCAAUCCCCUGGGCCUGCACUGACGCUCAUGCACGAAAGCGUGGGGAGCAAACAGG